UUGUCUGUUGUUGUUUUCAAAGCAUUUAUCAUCAUAGCCAAAAGUAAGCUGCAAUAUCUGGAAGCUAUACCUACAUUAUUAAAUAACUCUGAGAAUACUCAUGGAGAGCAGGGCUUUCUCUGGCUUGAAAAACAUACCUUUGUACUGGAGGGAGAGGGUUGAAUUUCAUUUUGCUAAGGUUCUUACAGGGAUGCUAGAACAAACGGGCAGCUCUUUCAGUGUAAUGUAAAAAUAGCAAGAUCUAAGUGCUUCCUGAUCCUCUUAGAGAAUGAGCAUUCAGAGACACAAGUCUGGGAGUGGCUUCCUGGGUUGUUUCAUCCUUGGAGUUAACUUAAAUAGGUUGGAGCUAGAGGUGGCUACGUAAGGUCGUUGGUUAAGUGACUUUCACAAUAUGUAAGGAUUCAGGAUCCAUUGUCAGUCAGAACUGGGAUUUGGAGGGGGAUGGAGAGAUCAGGACACAAGUGGAGCACAGAUCGUAAGCAGUGAUGGAAAUCCCUCUGCCCAAAGCGAAUGGAGGCAGCAGGUCACAGAAGGAAGCAAGAGCCUCCUUUGGUCCUGUAUGGAAGGUGUACGAUGUCCUCCUCCCGUGACACAGGCUGCAACUGCUGUCUGAACCGAGUUCAUCCACAAACUGCUUCUGCACGCAUAAACUUCAAAACUGCUCACGGGAAGGUUAGUUACACACGGGGACUUGCAAACAGCUGACACUUGUGCUGACAGGAGAGUAAAAAGAUGACGAAAUGUAUCUGACAGGCAUGCUCUUCGCUUGCACAAGACUAAGAAGAGAGAGCAUUUGUCAAAAUGGAUGUGGUGCGUGCGUCUCUGCUCUCACGUGGUUACGGUGCCGCCUUUGUGGAUGCAUGCCUGGCUGUGUUGCCUGCAACAAGAUCUUCUGUCCCUUCAAAUGCCACUUACUAUCAAAUCAUGGAACUGCUUAGAUGCCAGUGUUGACAUUAAUGCAAACAGAUCUAAAAAAAAUUCUGGUAAGGUUCCACUGAUAAGCACUUUGGCCUUAAUCUUGUGGGUGGAUGUGUGUGGGCAGAUGCUUUUGUUCCUGCAGAGUCUCUCUGAGGGCAGGGAGAGCGCACACAGGGUUGUAAGUCAGCUGUUUGCCUCGAGUUUUUGGCUGGACAGGGUCUUAGUGUGGGGUUUUGAAAGGCAGCUAAAUGAUUUUAUUCUACAUGUCCAUUAAUUCUCACCAGGAACUGUAAUUCAUAAGUGACUUAAGCUCCUUUGAAACUCCGUGCUUGCUUUACUAUUUAAAAAGUAUUGGUUAUUUUUUUCCCCAUUUUAUUUUUCCAACUAUUCACACUAUAUUCUAUUUUGUAACCAAUCUUUGGAGUCCAAAUUUCACCCCCAGCUAUUCAUGUAAAACCCCAUCUUCAACCAGCAGGACACCAAACAGAUCAAGAAUAAGCAUGAAAAUACACAGAAAUCUGUGGGAUUUGCAUAGGUCUCACUGUGUUGUAUGUGCAGCAGAUCUUGGAGAAUCCAAAAUUGAAUAAGUCAUCUAAAAAUACACAUAUAUAUAUUUAACUGAAUCUUGAAUUUCACUAAAAUAUUUUUUAAUGGCAAAACAGGCAUUAAAAUACCAGUUGAACACUUAAUUUCAGAGGAUGGGACCUGUGGUGUGUGUGCACCCAAUUUUUGUUCUUGGCAGUAAUGAGAACUUACUGAAUACAGUUCCUAUAAGGUUUGUGACAGGAACUCCAAGAUUUUUCAGUGAGAACAGACUACUGCUGUCUUAAAUACAAUGCUGCUAGAAAAUGCCACAAAAGUUUGUCCUGCCGGAGAGACUGUUUGUUCUUCCACCAGUGCCACAUGUAGGAGCUGUGUUCUCAAGAGACGUCUGUUCCUGAAAGAUCCCUUCCCUUCCAGGCCUUCCAAGGUCAUGCUUCAACAUGAGACUUGAAAAUCCUAAAUGUCAGCAAACAGUGGGGCAAUCUGUUAAGCGCAUUCAGAGUCUAAAUAGAUUGUCUUUUUCUUUUUUCUUGCUGUGUAAGCUUAAAAAUUUGAAGAAAUUCCAUCAACUUGCUACCAAACAUACUGUUAUACUGCCUGCUCUUCCCAUGUAGUGACUUCUGCAUACGCACCCAGAGCUGCCUGCCUGUCACUCAGGUUAUGCUUUCUGUUCGUUGCUGUUGCAGCAUUUCUUAUGUCUCUUUUGGGCUGAAUCCCACUGAGUCAGUGGAAGAGUCCCGUUGCUGGACUGGAAUUAGGAAGGGGUUGUUAAGACUCAUCCUGGUCCAAACUUGACACUGCCUGUAAUUCACAACAUAUGCAACCAGAAGGGUAAUAAUAGCCCAGUAAGGAGGGUUACCUUUUACCCUUACAUGGGAAAUUAGUGUAUUUGCGUGUCUGUACCCUCUGUACUCCGUUGGGCUCUGCUUUCCUCAGGGUAGCAAUGACACUUUGCACAGAAGGUUUGAGAGCUGCCACUUUGAACACGAAAAGGGGUGAUAAGCUUUGUCAGAGGCUCAACCAGCCUUCGAGGUCAGCCAAACAAGCAGAUAGUGCUUGUUGGGAGUUCUGUUAAUAAAUUACGGCAGCUUUACACUCGUUAGGUAGCAGCCUGCUAUUAGCUGACACCCCUUCUGUGGCUAUCUGGAAAACACCUCUCCGGCAGCGUAUGGCUACUGUGACCCAACACCGAGUGACAGCCAAGUGCAGGGCGUUGUUUUGAGCUCUCAGAUCGCCAGGGCUGAGUUUGCCCUUGCUCUGAAGGAAAGCUCACGAGCUGCACGUAAGGAUGAACAAAGAAGGUUGCUGCUAAUCCCCUUGGCUUGUUUGUGCGCUGUCUUGGCAUCAACCCCGGUGCAGGAGAUGUCGCUCAGCUUAUACAUGGCUGGGGAAAGUAGGGGAAAGGAAAUAAAAUGCUGCUGGAAUAACCCUUCACAAGUACUAAGUGCUGGAGAAAGUGAAGACUCAUUUUCACUUCAGAAAAGGGGAUUCUAGCCUGUAGGUUGCACACAGAUGUGUGCGUCCUGCAUCUGGGAUGCAACAGGGACUCCUGCUGAAAGCAGCAAGACUGAACUUUGCAGGACGUGAAAAACAGCCAAGGCCUCCACUGUAUAAAACCUACUGAGGAAAAUGGCUCUGUUGUACCCAGCUUUCCAUCUUUAAUACAAAAAGACUGCAUUGUACUUUUCCUGCACAGCCUGAAUGCAAAUUCAUAACUAUGGUCAAUGUGGCUGCCUUGCUUCCAUAAGUUUUUUCUUACAGUCCUUGCUUAUUAAAAUGUUAAGUCCUUCAUUGAAAUUCCACCUCCAGUGGAACAGCCCUUGAUCAGCCGUCCCCGGGAAAACAGAGCGGGCUAUGACAGCAAAAGCAUUGUGAUGGACUUCCCUUUGCUCUCUUGCCAUUUAUUGAAAAUUUUCCAUUAUUUUGGAUAAAUGGUCAGUGCUGCUCUGGAAACUUGGUUGUGCUUUUGAUUCUCUAUUAUCAAGCAAAGCAUAACAUCAUUUAAAACAAACACCAGAAUCAGAAACCAGUCCUUGUAUAACUUGGGAAGGGCCUGCUUUAAUAAUAUUUUUUGAACAAUCCUGUGACUGAAGUGGUAUUGAGCUACCAUAUCCAUCUGGCCCCAUGUAUUUAGAUAAAAAUUAUUUUUCACAGAAGAGAUCUGCAGAUAAUAUUACAAGAAGGGAUGGAAGAUGUUCCAACAGGGCUUUGUAAAGGAUUCAUAGUUUACUUGUCUUCCUCUCUCUCCUUCCUGUCUCUGUAGAUUUAAUUAUGAUCCUUUGUCCUUAUUCCUUUGAAAACAACCUUUAAAAAAUGCAGAUGCCUUUGGAGCUGCAGUGAGAAAGCCCUCAGCUCACGCAAUGAGAGUCUAAAGAGAAAGAUGUAAGGCUGGAAGAUAACUUUAGGCAAGUCCACAAGAAGGGGAAGGGUAUAAACAGGGUCCCAGGAAGUCUCCUGACUUCAUCUUUACCUGCCAGUGUAAAGCAAGCCAUUGGAAACAGGAAAAAGAGAGCCCAGAAAGGUGCAUUUGUAUCACCGGGUGUGCUGAGAGGUAAUUCAGUGUCUAAAUAUUUUACACAUGUAACAUCUUGUGAAGAUAUGAAUGCCUGUUACAUUUCCUCCGAAAUCACAACCAGCAUCGUUAACAGCAUUUCCCCAUUCUUGUUGCCAUCACUGGCCUUAGUCACAAAGAUGAUUGUCCCAGGCUAGCUUUGACACCUCUGCUGCUCUCAGUGCAAAGAGAUCCACCUCCUCCACGUCUAACUUUGCUGGAAUCGCUCCCGGUUUCCACAGAUUGAGGCAGACAGUGAUGUUUUAUAGUUCUAAAAUUGAUUGGUAGGAGGAAGAGAAGCAGGGAAGAAAACAGAAAUGCAGAGGGGGAGGAGGCAGGCAGUACAGCAGGCAGGGUGGACUAUUGCCUAGCUUUAUUUAACGGGUGCUUUCAAUGGCUGGGAGAUGACACCAGAAAUUUCACAAAGGCAGAAUUUGUGUUUCAAUGUAUAAUUAUAUGCUUACAAUGUAGUGAUAUGGAUAAUUACGGCCAUUAAAAAAAAAUACUCUCUUUUUCUUUUGUAUUACAGCUAUUUUGUGGAUCAUAAAGUAUUAUCCGCUACACGAUUUGGAAAUUACUUGUUUGUUGCUGUUGUUUGCUUUGUUUUGCUUUUGUUUGUUUUUCAUCAAUGACUACAGGUCAUCACUGCCUAUUUGUAGGGAACAACUCACUUGGAAAUAACACAACUGAAGACAAAAACAGCCCUUUGCCAUAUCUGCUGUACUUACUGACUGUGAUCACAACUGCAGUCCUGGGACAGGCAAAUGCAAGCCCAAACGACUGUCAGGAUCUGGCCCAGUACACAGCAUUUCUUUCAGACAGACUUCAGUGGCCUCUGAGAUCACCCAUGUGAGUGUGGAGUCAGCUGGGAAGGCCUUGGAGCAGGGUAUGAAAUCCUCGUUGUGACGAUGUUCUCCAGAAUGACAACAGGCACGUUGCCUUCAGCAGACCAGAUUUCGUUCCCUGUGUGUGAACAGAUUCCAAGAGGAAUGAUCACAUUGUAUAUGGCCAGCUGUGAAAUGUUUUGGCAAAGGAAGCAGGGCUUGAACUUGAACCCUUCCAGGUGAAAAGUAAAGGCAGGAUCAAUCUGUGUGCACAUGAAAUGGGAAGCGAGGCAGCUUGUGGGGGAGGCUUUGGUCCAUGACACCACCGAUUGACUCCCUUGACUCCUGCCCUGCAGCUUUGUGACUUUCUCAAUGCCAGUUUGAGUUUUGACCAAACAGCCCAGAAAAGUCUCUUGCUCUUGGUGAUGAGAGCUCACAGAAUCAUAGCACCAGUGAACAUUUGAGCCCUCCAGAGUGUGAAGUAAUAAUGGCCAGCUGGUGCCAUCUCAGUUGGGAAAGUAGUCAGCAAAUGGCUAAGAUAUGAGAGUUAAAUCUGGUUUAUACCACACCAGAGAGGACUGGUUUGGAUUGGCUUCCAGAGGAUUUCCGAACAAAGGAGUUGCUCAAAAUCUUGGUCCCUUCUGAACAGCAACAUUCCUUUGUACCAGCAGGAUCUUUGGACUUCAAGUUUGGGAACAGAUUCUGGAAAACAGACAGGGAUCCACUGCUGAGAUCCUCUGGUCAAGCCAAGAUGACAAAACUGACGGAAAAAAUGUAUGUCCUCUUGUAAUCACAGGAAAACACCGGAGGCAAGUUAAUUUGAUCCCAUUCAUCAUUUCAACAUCAUAAGCUUACAAUUCCCUGUGUAAUUCUUUAACAAGGUGAAACAAUAGUUUUGAGAGAGUAGUCUCAGGGCUGUAUCCUUCUCAACAGCCUGCCAGUCUGUGUGGCCAUGUCCACCUUGUCCUCUGGGUUUGCUCACCUCCAGUAACCUGUUCCCUUACCUGCGGGUAUGUGGAUGAUGCCAAACUGCAGCAACGGUGAGUUUGUUCUAGCAAACUUGCUUUCCUUCAUAUAAACAUUUUUCUCUGGAAUUUAUUUCCCCCCCUGUUCCUUUGGAUGUAUUGAUCUCCAUAGGCUUGUGUCUUCCUACUUUAAGAUCUGUUUUCUUUUAAAGCCAGCUACGUGUCUGGGAAAUAUACACUCUGGUGUUCCAAGAGGGCAGAGGGAGGUAUUUCUAGAAAUAGCAAGAUGACAAACAAACAGAGAGAAAUUCUGGUCUUGGCUACCUUACUGUAAACUCAGCCCAUGGAUCUUUUUUCAGAACUGAGGUUUCCCAUCUGUCAAUGGAUGGCUAUAAAUCCCAGCAGAUGUUGAAGAGACAUCUGGAGUGUAUCCCUUGCACUCCCAGUGUCAGUGAGCAUCACCCAGUUGCAAUACACUUUUGCUGACCUAAGGGAAUUUGUGGUCUUCCCUCCAAACAAACGGGUGUUUGCAAAAAUUGUGAUAGGUCUGACAUCCUCUCCUACAAUUACUAAGAGUCUCUGAUACUGAGACUCCUGCUUAGCACUUGUCUUUCCAUAGCCAAAUUUAAUGAGCAUCUAAAUUAGCCAUUUUAUAAACUAAUGGGGUGGGUGCUGAGGAAUGGGCUCUUUGCCAUGCUGCGACAAGACCAUUAGCAACGGGGAAAUUGGGAACCUUCAGCGUGCAGGAAGCUGAAUGCGUGGAUUUGAACCUCGUUGGAAUGAAAAUGAGGGCAGGGGAUUUUUCAAGGAACCCAAUGUAUUUUUCAAAACUCGUCAGUUGAAUUUGAACGGGCUCUCCAGAUGCCUUCAAAAUCUUCAGCCUCAGUUCUGAAGGUGAGAAAGAGGAAAUGUUCCAUCCUCCCACGUCUGGUCACAGCCCAAGGUGCCCGGUCAAGGGGGAAAGGCUUCCAGCCAGCCACAUUUUUCUGAAACAACUCAAUUGUACAGAGUGAACGCCAAGGCCCAGCUUUGUUCUGGGCUUUGCAUGUAUUUUCAAGUCAGUGUUUAUUUUGCCUGAUCUGCCCUGACUCUCUGGUUCCUGUUAGUGUUCUCUCCUAUUGUUGCUGGUGAACUCUGGCCCUUACCGGGAUUUAUGGUGGAGUUGCCUUUGUCUGAGGAGGUACAGGGGAGAUUUUCCAAUAGUGGAGUGCCAGGACAAAAGCAAGGGCAGAACUUUUUUGCAUUUUCAUCCCAUUCUACCCCUUUUAUCUCUGCUUCCUCUCCUCUGGGCUGUUUUUCAGCAGCAGCUGCCCUGCCUCUUGUGGUUGCUCUUUGCCCCGUCCCAUGUAGAGGCAUGGAGCUGCCAAGCCUCUGCCCUGUGCCAAGAUGCCAUGUAUGUUCCUCAGCUGACCAACCUCCUUUGCUUCUGUACAUGCUAUUAAAAAAGGUAGAGGGCAAUAAAGCUCAUUUACUACCCCAUAUAAUUAACAGGGGCUGCAUCCCUGAGAUGGUGAAUGGCUUUAGGACUUGUCUUUGUUUAGUAACAUGCAUCUGUGCAAAUGAUUUGGAAGAAAAUUCCCUAAAGCAGAAACUACAGACACUUCUCUAACUGCUUCUGUAAAUUAAUAUAGCAAAGAAAGUAAGUCAGGAAAAAAAAAAAAUAAAUCCCCAAACAUGGCUUCUUUGUAAUCUGGUAAGUCUUUGACAAAAAUAAUUUUUCACCAUUAUUAAUACAUGAGCAUUUCCUUGCGUCUCCCGCAAAUAAAUAAGGUGAAAAUUUAUACUUGUUCCUGACAAAUGAUCUGUUGUGUGUCAAAAAUCCCUUCAUUCUGAUUUCCUUGGAGCUUAGCAGUUUGCACAGGAAUGCAUUAAGGAAAUUAUCUGCUUUUUUCACUUAUUUUAUCGAUCUACUUACUGGCCUUCAAUUACAUGCAACACAUUUGUUCACUUCAAGGGUUUCCUGGCUUAGAUUUGCUUUGACCCAGCUCUGUGAGUCUUCCAAAGCCAGAUGAACCCAGCAGUUUGUGUGAGCAUAGCUAGCUUUGAAAACAAUUGCUUAAGAAUCUAUUAUUUCCUCCGUAUUCAAUAUCAAAAUGUGUUUACUAGGGUUUCGUCAUACUGAAGAUCAUCAGACAAAAAGCUGUGUAUUACAGCAAUAGGCAUAAAUAUUUACAACUAACAGAGCCUAUCUAAUUUUAGGUACCUACACCCUCCACACCACUAGGAAACGAAACCAGGCUCUUCCAGGAUAUGCUCCCAGCUCUCCUAAAGAAGCAGAUCCAUUAGGCACUGUCAGUAGUGCCUUCUCAUUGCCUCUGAUGGCUCUGUUUCUACUCUUGCCUGGCAGCUCACAGUUGGAGGAUGUUAAAAGGGCAGAGCUGACAUCCGUGAGAAGGCAGAAACAUCUGCUGUUAUGCCCUGGCCGGCUGCCGCCCUCACCAGCUCGGCAGUGCUUGAGGAAAUCCGAAGAACCACACGGUGGGAAGACCCUAUUCUUUGGAGAAAAAAAAAAAAAAAAAAAAAA